CCUACGGGGGGCAUCAGUGGGGAAUAUUGGGCAAUGGGCGCAAGCCUGACCCAGCAACGCCGCGUGAAGGAAGAAGGCUUUCGGGUUGUAAACUUCUUUUGUCAGGGACGAAGCAAGUGACGGUACCUGACGAAUAAGCCACGGCUAACUAGGUGCCAGCAGCCGCGGUAACACGUAGGUGGCAAGCGUUAUCCGGAUUUACUGGGUGUAAAGGGCGUGUAGGCGGGGAAGCAAGUCAGAUGUGAAAACCACGGGCUCAACCUGUGGCCUGCAUUUGAAACUGUUUUUCUUGAGUGCUGGGGAGGCAGUCGGAAUGCCGUGUGUAGCGGUGAAAUGCGUAGAUAUAAGGAGGAACACCAGUGGCGAAGGCGGAUUGCUGGACAGUAACUGACGCUGAGGCGCGAAAGCGUGGGGAGCAAACAGGAUUAGAUACCCUGGUAGUC
rnacentral:rRNA from 1 species